UAUUUUUUAUAGUUUACAAUUGUUAUUAAGUAACGUUCUUCCAAAUCCGUCUCGCCAAACCCAUCCCGUAAAAAACGUCUGCAAUACACCGCUAAUAUAAAUAUAU
rnacentral:sRNA from 1 species